AGUUACCGGCUGCUCACACAGAAAGCAGGGAGUGGACGGCAGCGCUUCUUUACGAGUUAAAGAACAACAAUGGAGCAGAAUCUGGAUGUUAUCUGAACGGACUCUAGGACAUAGAAAUGUCAUCAGUUUCUUUCAGGUGGAUGUGACCAUGGAGGAGCCACAAAGGAGGAGGAGCUUUGAUACCAGGUCAGUUGUGAGCCACAGGGGUCGUCAUCUUUUUUUAUUGUUUAAGUUUUAAAGUGUUGUUGCUCGUGUGUUAACUAAUCUUAAGGAGGAGCUGUCUGUAGUGAGGGCAGUGAGUCUGUGUUACCUCGCUUGUAUCUUUCUGACUUUUGACAAACAGAAAUGUAUUUCAUGCUUGAUUAAAUUAAGCUUUUUAAAAUUGCAUUAACACUGCCCAUUUUACUGUGUGAUUGGCUGGAAUAUGGGUUGUUAUAUUUGUUUGUUUGCUUGUUAUAACAUAAAAUAACUUUU